rnacentral:rRNA from 1 species
GGGGAAUAUUGGGCAAUGGGGGAAACCCUGACCCAGCAACGCCGCGUGAGUGAAGAAGGCCUUCGGGUUGUAAAGCUCUGUCGCAGGGGACGAAGAAAGUGACGGUACCCUGUGAGGAAGCCCCGGCUAACUACGUGCCAGCAGCCGCGGUAAUACGUAGGGGGCGAGCGUUGUCCGGAAUUACUGGGCGUAAAGGGUGCGUAGGCGGCUUGUUAAGUUGGAUGUGAAAUACCCGGGCUCAACCUGGGGGGUGCAUUCGAUACUGGCAGGCUACAGUGACGGAGAGGCACACGGAAUUCCUAGUGUAGCGGUGAAAUACAUAGAUAUUAGGAGACACACCAGUAGCGAAGGCGGCAAUCUGGACUGUAACUGACACUGAGGCACGACAGCGAGGGGAGCCAAAA